UACGUAGGUGACAAGCGUUGUCCGGAUUUACUGGGCGUAAAGAGCGCGCAGGCGGUCGAUCAAGUCGAGUGUGAAAGCCCCCGGCUCAACUGGGGAGGGUCAUUCGAUACUGAUCGACUCGAAGGCAGGAGAGGGUAGUGGAAUUCCCGGUGUAGUGGUGAAAUGCGUAGAUAUCUGGAGGAACACCGGUGGCGAAGGCGGCAUCCUGGACCGAGAUUGACGCUGAUGCGCGAAAGCCAGGGGAGCAAACGGG
rnacentral:rRNA from 1 species